UACGAAGGGGGCUAGCGUUGCUCGGAAUUACUGGGCGUAAAGCGCACGUAGGCGGAUCUUUAAGUCAGGGGUGAAAUCCUGGAGCUCAACUCCAGAACUGCCUUUGAUACUGAGGACCUUGAGUUCGGGGAGAGGUGAGUGGAACUGCGAGUGUAGAGGUGAAAUUCGUAGAUAUUCGCAAGAACACCAGUGGCGAAGGCGGCUCACUGGCCCGAUACUGACGCUGAGGUGCGAAAGCGUGGGGAGCGAACAGG
rnacentral:rRNA from 1 species